rnacentral:lncRNA from 1 species
GGCCUCCACCGAUUACGAUCGACACCAAUGUCCGUUUAAUAAAUCUCUGAGGACGCAGAGCGCCCCGGAGAGCAGGGGAGGAAACUCGUGGUGGCGCACAGUCCCAUCCCAUUUCCUGGGUCUCACUGGCCACUGGUGGAUGGAAAUGUGAUUUUUUAAUGGCCUCAGGUAAGGGUGCCGGUCCGUGUUGGGAACCCGUGACACUGCAGCGAGUCCGUCGUGCCCGCGUGCGUCAGCACCCCUGGAACCUUCCCAGGAGCCGUGCCAGGCAGGUGUGACCGUGCUGUCUCCGGGCUGGUUCUAGGGAGGGCGAUGGACCCUACGCGACACACACUCAAAACCCCAGCCCAGCCCCGGUGCACCAGGCUCACAGCCUCUGGGACACGGUCCGCUUUCAGGGCAGAGAAGUGGUGACAGUGAGGACGACGGAUCCGAGCUCCCAGGCCCUACAAGGGGGAGCCCGGCUGGAGGGGGGUGGUCUGGGAGGCAGGUGCCUAGUCCAGGUGGAGGCACCUGGCGGGCGGGGGUGGGGGCCACGCUUCUUGAAACCCACUCCAUGGAUACGUUUGUGAAUGUUGAUGGUGUAUUCUCUGGUCACUACCUCGUUGAUGGCAGAACGGCCCUUCUUCUUCUCGCCACCCUUCUUUGCGGGAGCCAUUCUGCCAGGCCCUAGCUGGAAAGUGUACUAGCUGUUAUUGUAUUUCUAUGUCAGUCUGUUGAUUCACAUAAAAUUGAAUAAGCAGGUGUACUGCUACACUUCCCACAAAGUACAUUCAAUCAAAAGUCAGAUUAGGAUGGUCUGCAUUUCUCUUUAGAAUUUAAGCCUGCUCCAGUGAGGGUGACAAAACAUGAGAGACCCCUAACUCUGGGAACUGAACAAGGGGUAGUGGUAGCGGAGGUGGUAGGGGGGUUGGGGUGACUGGGUGAAGGGCACUGAGGGGGGCAUUUGGCGGGAUGAACACUGGGUGUUAUGCUAUAUGUUGGCAAAUUGAAAUCCAAUAAUAAAUAAUAAAAAAAGAAAAAAAUAAUUUAAGCCUGCUACUUUUUAAACUGGUUUAUAUAUGAACAGAAUUGCAAGAUGGCAUUCACAAUUAUUUUUUAAUAUUUUAAGAUUCUUUAAUUUUUUAAAAAUUACUUGAAAAAUUUUAUAAGUAUUUUUGUGUUGAAUUUUUAAUCUUAAAAUUAUUGUACUAUUAUUUAAAAUAAAGGAAAACAGUUCCCUUCUUAUCUUUUUUUCAUGUUUCGGGGGCAAUAUUUU